rnacentral:lncRNA from 1 species
GUUGCUACAUUGAUAUUGAACAGGUUAAAUCACAUAAUAAUAUCCACUGUGUACAAAAUUAAUCAUAUGUUUCUACCAAUUUAGAAGCACAACAGAGUAGAUAUUGCACUGGAGCACUUGAGAAUCUAGCUGAAACCAUAAAAACUAAAGAAAUACCUGGUUUUGUUUGUCAAAAAGACAGAAUGACAGGAAGUAUUAAAGAAAGUGAUUAACCAAGAUAGUGAAUCGUAAAUUUCAAUGCAUAAAUGCAUACAUACCAAAUAACCAUAGCACAAGAAUAAAUGUCUAUAUUCAAAUUACCAUCUUUAUUAAUGGUACUAUCCUUGAUAGAGAGGAAUGGCAUAACAGAAUUCGUAUAGCCAGUCCAGAUAAUUAGGGAAAGGUUCAGAUAAGAUCCAGAUGAUUGUGAUGCAGUAUUAUGUUAAGGCAAUGAAGUCGAGUUGCGCCCAACUAAGUACGCGAUUCGAUUGUGUUGCUUCGAAGGACCAGACGGCGGAAUGUGGAUGGAGGACAAGCUGCCCAAAAAGUGAGCCUUUGGUUGUGCUUGGUUGUCCAGGAAUGGUGCAUGGUUUCUUGCACUGGUGCAAGGUGGAGAGGGUAGGAGGAGGAAGAAAACCAGAAAGGAGAGGAGAGUUGUGGCCAUAGCUUGGGUUUUUGCUUUUGGGUUCCUCUCAUAUUUCUUGUGAUUUUGUGUUGGUGUGUUCACUCAAUAUAGUAAAAAUAUAAUGAAGGAGAUAUAGGACAGAGGCAGA